rnacentral:rRNA from 1 species
AAACAGGCUUAGAUACCCUGGUAGUCCACCCCGUAAACGUUGGGAACUAGUUGUGGGGACCAUUCCACGGUUUCCGUGACGCAGCUAACGCAUUAAGUUCCCCGCCUGGGGAGUACGGCCGCAAGGCUAAAACUCAAAGGAAUUGACGGGGACCCGCACAAGCGGCGGAGCAUGCGGAUUAAUUCGAUGCAACGCGAAGAACCUUACCAAGGCUUGACAUAUACGAGAACGGGCCAGAAAUGGUCAACUCUUUGGACACUCGUAAACAGGUGGUGCAUGGUUGUCGUCAGCUCGUGUCGUGAGAUGUUGGGUUAAGUCCCGCAACGAGCGCAACCCUCGUUCUAUGUUGCCAGCACGUAAUGGUGGGAACUCAUGGGAUACUGCCGGGGUCAACUCGGAGGAAGGUGGGGAUGACGUCAAAUCAUCAUGCCCCUUAUGUCUUGGGCUUCACGCAUGCUACAAUGGCCGGUACAAAGGGCUGCAAUACCGUGAGGUGGAGCGAAUCCCAAAAAGCCGGUCCCAGUUCGGAUUGAGGUCUGCAACUCGACCUCAUGAAGUCGGAGUCGCUAGUAAUCGCAGAUCAGCAACGCUGCGGUGAAUACGUUCCCGGGUCUUGUACACACCGCCCGUCAAGUCAUGAAAGUCGGUAACACCUGAAGCCGGUGGCCCAACCCUUGUGGAGGA